rnacentral:tRNA from 1 species
GGAGGGUUGGCAGAGCGGUUGAAUGCGACGGUCUUGAAAACCGUUAGGCGUGUAACCCACGUCUCGGGGGUUCGAAUCCCCCACCCUCCU